NCUCAGUGGUAGAGUUCCAGAAUGUGGAUCUGGCAGUCGCGGGUUCGAUCCCCGU
rnacentral:tRNA from 1 species